rnacentral:rRNA from 1 species
CAUGAAGCUGGAAUCGCUAGUAAUCGCGGAUCAGAAUGCCGCGGUGAAUACGUUCCCGGGUCUUGUACACACCGCCCGUCACACCAUGGGAGUCGGAAAUGCCCGAAGUCCGUAGCCUAACCGCAAGGGGGGCGCGGCCGAAGGUGGGUUCGAUAAGUUGGGGUGAAGUCGUAACAAGGUACC